UAGGGAAUCUUCGGCAAUGGACGAAAGUAUGACCGAGCAACGCCGCGUGAGUGAAGAAGGUUUUCGGAUCGUAAAACUCUGUUGUUAGAGAAGAACAAGGACGUUAGUAACUGAACGUCCCCUGACGGUAUCUAACCAGAAAGCCACGGCUAACUACGUGCCAGCAGCCGCGGUAAUACGUAGGUGGCAAGCGUUGUCCGGAUUUAUUGGGCGUAAAGCGAGCGCAGGCGGUUUCUUAAGUCUGAUGUGAAAGCCCCCGGCUCAACCGGGGAGGGUCAUUGGAAACUGGGAGACUUGAGUGCAGAAGAGGAGAGUGGAAUUCCAUGUGUAGCGGUGAAAUGCGUAGAUAGAUGGAGGAACACCAGUGGCGAAGGCGGCUCUCUGGUCUGUAACUGACGCUGAGGCUCGAAAGCGUGGGGAGCAAACAGG
rnacentral:rRNA from 1 species